GAUGAACGCUGGCGGCGUGCUUAACACAUGCAAGUCGAACGAAGCACCUUUAUUUGAUUUCUUCGGAAUGAAGAUUUUAGUGAGUGAGUGGCGGACGGGUGAGUAACGCGGGGGUAACCUGCCUCAUACAGGGGGAUAACAGCUAGAAAUGACUGCUAAUACCGCGUAAGACCAUGGUAGCGCAUGGUACAGGGGUAAAAACUCCGGUGGUAUGAGAAGGACCCGCGUCUGAUUAGGUGGAUGGUGGGGUAACGGCCUACCAAGCCGACGAUCAGUGGCCGACCUGAGAGGGUGACCGGCCACAUUGGGACUGAGACACGGCCCAAACUCCUACGGGAGGCAGCAGUGGGGAAUAUUGCACAAUGGGGGAAACCCUGAUGCAGCGACGCCGCGUGAGCGAUGAAGUACUUCGGUAUGUAAAGCUCUAUCAGCAGGGAAGAAAAUGACGGUACCUGACUAAGAAGCACCGGCUAAAUACGUGCCAGCCGCCGCCGUAAGAC
rnacentral:rRNA from 1 species